UACGGAGGGUGCAAGCGUUAUCCGGAUUCACUGGGUUUAAAGGGUGCGUAGGAGGGCAGGUAAGUCAGUGGUGAAAUCCCCGAGCUUAACUUGGGAACUGCCGUUGAUGCUAUCUGUCUUGAAUAUUGUGGAGGUGAGCGGAAUAUGUCAUGUAGCGGUGAAAUGCUUAGAUAUGACAUAGAACACCAAUUGCGAAGGCAGCUCGCUACACAUAUAUUGACUCUGAGGCACGAAAGCGUGGGGAUCAAACAGG
rnacentral:rRNA from 1 species